GACGUAGGAGGCGAGCGUUGUCCCGGAGUUACUGGGCGUAAAGCGCGCGCAGGCGGUCACGCAGGUCAUCUGUGAAAAGCACCCGGCUCAACCGGGUUGUUGCGGGUGAAACCCGCGUGACUUGAGGUCGGGAGGGGUCGGUGGAAUUCCCGGUGUAGUGGUGAAAUGCGUAGAGAUCGGGGAGGAACACCCCGUAGCGAAGGGCGGCCGACUGGACCGAUCCUGACGCUGAGACGCGAAAAGCGUGGGGGAGCAAACAGG
rnacentral:rRNA from 1 species